rnacentral:rRNA from 1 species
UUCCGGUUGAUCCCGCCGGACCCGACUGCUAUCAGAGUGGGACUAAGCCAUGCGAGUCAACGUAGAAAUACGUGGCAAACGGCUCAGUAACACGUAGUCAACACGCCCAGGGGACGUGGAUAACCUCGGGAAACUGAGGAUAAACCGCGAUAGGCCAUGAUUUCUGGAAUGAGCCAUGGCCGAAAUCUAUAUGGCUCCUGGAUUGGACUGCGGCCGAUCAGGCUGUUGGUGAGGUAAUGGCCCACCAAACCUGUAACCGGUACGGGCUCUGAGAGGAGGAGCCCGGAGAUGGGCACUGAGACAAGGGCCCAGGCCCUAUGGGGCGCAGCAGGCGCGAAAUCUCUGCAAUAGGCGAAAGCUUGACAGGGUUACUCUGAGUGAUUCCCGCUAAGGGGAUCUUUUGGCACCUUUAAAAAUGGUGCAGAAUAAGGGGUGGGCAAGUCUGGUGUCA